GCCAUUUAGGAGUUAAAUCCCUUUGUUUAUGAACCCUAGUCACACCUCCCUGCAUGUGACUUGCACAGCCUUCCAUAAACACUUCCUGUAAAGAGAGCCCUAUUUAGGCUUUCUUUAUUGCAUGUUCUGUUUAAUUAAGAUUUUCUUAUCCCCUGCUAUGUUAAUAGCUUGCUAGACCCUGCAAGAGCCUCCUGUAUGUGAUUAAAGUUCAAUUUAGAGAUCGAGAUACAAUUAUUUAAGGUAAAUUACAUCUGUUUGAAAGUGAAACCAGUUUUUUUUUUCAUGCAGGCUCUGUCAAUCAUAGCCAGGGGAGGUGUGGCUAGGGCUGCAUAAACAGAAACAAAGUGAUUUAACUCCUAAAUGACAGUGAAUUGAGCAGUGAAAUUGCAGGGGAAUGAUCUAUACACUAAAACUGCUUUAUUUAGCUAAAGUAAUUUAGGUGACGAUAGUGUUCCUUUAAAUGUAUAGUAAUCUUAAAAGAAACCUGAUAUAUUGAUACAGCGUGUGGGGUAUUGUCAAUAUUAACUCCAAACCCAGGCUUUUUGUUAUCAAAUUAUAUUAAUUAAAUUAC